UACGAGGGGGGCGAGCGUUGUUCGGAAUUAUUGGGCGUAAAGGGUCCGUAGGCGGUCUUGUAAGUCAGUGGUGAAAGCCCAUCGCUCAACGGUGGAACGGCCAUUGAUACUGCAGGACUUGAAUUAUUGGGAAGUAACUAGAAUAUGUAGUGUAGCGGUGAAAUGCUUAGAGAUUACAUGGAAUACCAAUUGCGAAGGCAGGUUGCUACCAAUUGAUUGACGCUGAUGGACGAAAGCGUGGGUAGCGAACAGG
rnacentral:rRNA from 1 species